rnacentral:rRNA from 1 species
UGGGGAAUUUUGGACAAUGGGCGAAAGCCUGAUCCAGCAAUGCCGCGUGUGUGAAGAAGGCCUUCGGGUUGUAAAGCACUUUUGUCCGGAAAGAAAUCCUUGGCUCUAAUACAGUCGGGGGAUGACGGUACCGGAAGAAUAAGCACCGGCUAACUACGUGCCAGCAGCCGCGGUAAUACGUAGGGUGCAAGCGUUAAUCGGAAUUACUGGGCGUAAAGCGUGCGCAGGCGGUUUGCUAAGACCGAUGUGAAAUCCCCGGGCUCAACCUGGGAACUGCAUUGGUGACUGGCAGGCUAGAGUAUGGCAGAGGGGGGUAGAAUUCCACGUGUAGCAGUGAAAUGCGUAGAGAUGUGGAGGAAUACCGAUGGCGAAGGCAGCCCCCUGGGCCAAUACUGACGCUCAUGCACGAAAGCGUGGGGAGCAAACAGGAUUAGAUACCCUGGUAGUCCACGCCCUAAACGAUGUCAACUAGUUGUUGGGGAUUCAUUUCCUUAGUAACGUAGCUAGCGCGUGAAGUUGACCGCCUGGGGAGUACGGUCGCAAGAUUAAAACUUAAAUGAAUUGACGGGGUCAUAGCUGUUUCCU